rnacentral:lncRNA from 1 species
ACCCCCUCCUCUGUCUUCUGCCAGGUCUGUAGCAGUCUCCAGUGUUCAGAGCAAUGGAGUCCGGAUGAGAAGCAAGUCCCUGUGCAUCUAUGGCUCACCAGGAUCCAGCUCUUGAAGGGUGACGACCACAAUUCCACCUGAAAAUUCCACUUUGACAUCUAACCUCUCCUCUGAUGUUCCUGACUUCGCUCUGCACUUCUUUAAUUGCAACAACUAUGCAAAUGAAAAUGAUUGUGAAGGUUUUGGUCGGACAGGGUGCUGACAGCACAUUGUGUCCAUCUGAAUCCGUAUGUUGGAGGUUUCCAGCGGUGACACCUCCCCCAUUACAGACACACAAGGUAUAUCCAGUGACAAAGAAGCAAAAAGGAUCCAAGAGAAAGAAAUCAGAAAAUUUGAAUACAGAGGGAGGAAAGAAUUUAAGUUGUUACAAAGGCCCACAGUUUAAUCCAGUUGGAAAUCUAGAAUUUGGUAAAAGAAUUUAUACUCUGGUAAGACCUUUUUCCUUGACUGACAGCUGUCUUAUU